AUUCAUUUGGGCCUAACAAGGGGUGGGGGCUGGCGUAAAGCUCACACGUGGUGGUGGGGCUCAGGCGGCUUUUGUCGGAAAGAUUUGUCAUAACACCAGUUUAUCUUUUUCUUUCUAGACCAUGAGAUAUGGCCAAUAUACAACAACUAGAAUGGAAGUCUAGAACAGGUCAAUUUACUGGAUUUCUGUGAUAGAAAAGAAUCUUUUUGAACAUAUACUGUAGCAUCUUUGGGGAAACUAGAUUAUAGAUAAGUAUGUAAAAUAGCAUCAAUAAUAAGGAAAACUUGAAACAAUUUAGUUCAAAGUUAUCAAGACUGAAGAUGAAAAGUAAGUGUAGUAAAUGUAAACAAUAAUAUAGAAAUAUUAUAAAGAAUUCAAUAGCAUGUCUUUAUUUUUAAAAGGGUUUUUAAAAAGUAAAAUGUAGCAUAUGAAAUAGUCCUUAGAGAAGUGGAAAAAAUUUCAGCAUCAGUCACCAUGUCCCCCAUGAGUGUCUGUGGAUGUAGGGAAUUUCUCUGCAUCUGCUGGGAGGCCCUGCUUGUCAGAUGUUGCAGUUUAUCAUGGCCUGGUAACUUUCUCUAAGCUCAGCAACAUGGAGGACUCCAUCCCCAGGAAGGCUCCCUGCUCUCUACUUGCCCUUAUUUGGAAGAUGUAUCUAGGCCUGGAGGCCUGACUUAUUUCAAGGAUGACUCAGCGUAGUUCCCUGCAAAUGCUCUUCCCCUGCUGACCACAUGGUCAUUAAGUAAUAUGUGCUAGCUAUUUUCAUAGGGCCAUGCUUCCACUAACCCAGCUUUAUGAUCUAAGUAUGCUGUAUAAUGCAAAUUGGGUGAUUCCCCAACUACCAUCCCCAAUCUUUUCUAUUUCCCAUCUUCUGGAAUAAAGUUGCAACAUUUCACUGAAGUCAACCCCCAGAAGGCUAUCUCCUCCAUCAUAUCCACAGCCAUCAGAACCCUGGUCUCUGUUGCUGCUCCCUCCACUCUCACAGAUUGGUGGCCAACAAGCCCCGAAGAAUAAGGAGACCCACAGCAUCUUCCUGGAGCUAGGUCUGUGAAGGCUGGAGCUAAGAUAGGCAACUGUAUGUAUUAGUAUGGUAGUUAAUCUUAAUUGUCAACUUGCCUGAAGUUGUAGUCACCAUGGAAACACAACUCUGGGUUUGUCAAUGAUGGUAUUUCCAGAUAAGUUGAUUGAAGAGGGGAUCCAGCAGCACCUUCUUUUGGCCUCUGUGGGCAUCAGGUAAGCAUGUGGUAUACUUAUAUGCUUGCAGCCUAAUGCUCAUACACAUAGACUAAAAAUAAACCUUCAAAAAAAAAAGAACAAAGAAGUGUGGCUAAAAAGGAGACAAGAGGAAGAGAGUAGUUAUAACAUCCAACCCUUUGCAGAGUCUCAGGGAGGUGUCAUCAGUGAACUGGAUGUUGCAUGCCUACUGCAUUCAUGAAAGUGAUAUAUAAUAAUGCACAGAUUGGAAUCCAUUGGUUUGUGUCUAGAAAUCACCCCUCUGAUUCACACCACCAUUAACCAGUAUUUCUUAACCUAAGUUGUUUGAUAACACAGGUAUGUUUAACUUUAAUUUAACCCACACUCCCCGUAUUGCCUAUAAGACCAAGAUUUGGCAAGUCUUGCCAAAUACAGCUUCUAGCAUUUCCCUGGGGCAGAAGAGUAGAGAACUCAAACAACGACCUUAAAGACAGUCCAUCUGAGUUUGACCCUUGUUAAUGCUGAAUGCAAUGAAGUCAGAACUAGAUUGACAACAGGUAGUUUAUUAAAGGGAUAGCACUCACACAAGGGCCAGUGACCAGGCUUACACUGGAGCAGCAGUGACCUGCAGAUGUCUGCUUAGCCAGGCAGAGAGAGAAAAGAGGGCCGUGUACAUGCCUCUCUGCUACUUAAACUCUUGCUAUGUCACUCUGAUCAUGUCCAAGUGGGCGUGGUCAGUGCACCUGUGGCCAGCCAAGUAGGUGUGGUCAGCAGUACCUCUAAACAGGAUUUCCCCCUACACCUUGUCCUGACUAUGCAUUGUCAGAGAGUCAUUUACCUUCUUUGUACCUCAUUUUAUCAAUGACAUGGGCAUACCAGCAUAUACCUUGUCAAGGUGUGGGUGGUUGAGAUUUAUUCACAGCUACAUUCACCUAGAGUGAGCACUGAGUUCAGAAGUCAAUGCCAGAGUGUUUGCUGUUAUCACCAUCAGCUGCAGCGCCCAUUAAUCAUCUAGAUAUUGCUUACAAGUCUUCUGUUCUAAGGCAACCUUCUUUUAGAACACAGAUUAUAUUUGGGAUAGGAGAUAUAAUGGGUAGUGUCAGCUAUCUAAGCUGUGCGUUUGUGCAAAUACAUCACAAAUUCUGUUAAAGAGUUUUCUUAUCAGUAGUGGAAGCUGUUUGAGUUUAGGAAUACACAGAGCUCUGUCCUCUCACCAUCUGUAUGUAUGUCUUUGGGUUGUUACAUCAUCUCUUGGAGACCCAGGAUUAUUUGCCUGAUUGUUUUUAUAUUAUGGAACAGGAUGGCAACAUGAAUGGAAGAUAUAUUUCCAAAAGUAUUGAGUAGCUAAUAUGUGUACUGAGUAAUCUAGAGAUGUUUUGUUUAAAUCAUGACGGAGAGACGGGAAACAUAGAAGCCUUCCUAAUAGAGGAGGCAGGCAUGUUUGGGGAUUCCCGAAGUCGCACACUGGACAGUCUGAGCAUUUUGGCAGAACCCUGAAGAAACCUCUUUCCAUUAGUACAUGAAAUUCUUCUCCAAGAACUUUAUUUUGGGGGUGGGUGGAGCUUCCCAUAGAACAGCUUCUGGCAGGGGCUUGGGAGAUGACCCAGUGGGUACAGUGCUUGUUGUGUAAGCAUGAGGGUGUGAUCCAGAUCCCCAGAACCUAUGUAAAUCUAGUGCUGUGGGUGUCUGUAAUCCUCAUAUCCCUAUGUUGAGAUGGGAAGUGAAGACAGGGGAAUCUCUGAAAGCUUGUGAACCAGCCAGUCUGAAGUAUGAAUCAGUGAGAAAGGGACCCUGUCUCAAUUUGAGAUGAAACAUAAGGACUGACACCCAGGAAUGUUCCCCGACCUCUACAUGCAUGCUGUGUGAACAUGUGCGUGCCUAUACACAGAGAAAUUUAAGAAGAAUAACCUGUGGUACACUAUGGGCUAUUGAAAGUGCUUUGGGGGUCAGCUGCUCCAAACUAUUUCCAUGUUGGAAACAUGGCUGACUAGAUGACCCAUAGAAAACAUAUUUUUCCUUUCUAUUUUGGUUUCAGUAUCUCUUCAUGAGAAAUUAAAUGAAUGAUAUUUGGAAUUUUCCCAGAAAUGAAAAUUUGCUGCGAAAUUAUUUAAGCAAAAUGAGAAGCAAAGUCACCAGCACUUUCUUGUGGACACUUCCUUUCUCACCUAGUGCCUGAGCUAUCUCUGUAAACAGGUUAACAAUAAUCAAGCAAACAAUUGCCUUGUAUCAGAGACUAGCUCAGCUUACGUUGGAAGUGAGUGAAUCAUCCUGUAAUAUUUCAAGAUCACCCAGGGCAUCUGGAGAAGAGAUUGCCAUGAGUCAGGAAUGAGAGUGGGAAACAGGACUGAGAAUGGGAAACACACAAAUUCAAAAAACUUGUAUCAUAAAGAUUUUGCGGUGUUUUGUGUGUCUACUGUGUGCCACUUAUGACAGGCUAUGAGAAUCCAUACUGCAAGAUCAUUACCAGCAACAUGGUCCAAAGAUAAUCUUUUCACUGUUCUGGAUGGACCCAUAAGUAUGAAUAUAACUGGAAUAAUCACAGUUUUAUGUAAUCUUUAUGUAACAAAUCAACGAUUUUUCCUAUGGAUUAUUUUUGCUGCUGUUGUCCAUAUUUUUAUAUAUAAAAGGUGUGCCCAGUGCUUGUAAGUGCUAGGAGAUGGUGUCACAUCCCAGAAGCUUGAGUUACAGACAGCUGUGAGCUGCCAGAUGGAUGCUGGGAAUGGAACUCCAGUUCCUAGAAGAGCAGGUAUCAAGGAAGAGAAGGUGGAAAGAUAGCAAGAGUCAGAGGGCAUGGAGGACACCAGGAGAGCAAGACCUUCUUAAUUAGCUGAGCAAGGCACAUAGGAGCUCAUGGAGACUGACCAGAAGGAAGAGAACCUUGGAAGACUACAAUGAAGAAUUAUGCAUUGUCUGACAAAGGUGUUUUAAGAAAAAAUUUCAGGAACCACAUGUGUUUUCUGGUUUGGUUUUCUUAACACUCCCUUAUGUGAAGCUUGGAUGAGUGCAGCUGGCUCAGAGCCUGCCAGCUAUGUGGGUGACUCCAGCACUGAAGUUUUAGUCUAAUCCAUGCCUGUCAAGUUCAUGUCAGCCUGCUGCCAGCCACACCAUGUUGAUUCCAGCAGACCACUUUGGCACAGCUCCUGAACAGGCUUCCAGCAUCUAGUUUCCUUACCUCCUCUCACCACCUUAUGAUCCUUCCCUGUGGGAACGGCCAUUUCGUAUAUGAGUCACUUGGUAAAGUGUGAUAAAGUUGUGAAGGAAUGCUUAGAGCCUCUUAACAUAGACCACGUAUUGGCAAUGAGAAGGAAUUCAGAAAGCAUUCUUCAUAUUUGUGAAUGCAGGAGGUCUGGAAUGGACCAGGAUACCUGCCAUUCGAACCGGAAAGCAUUUGGUGACUCCAGUAUGGAUGAUGAAGCCUAUUGAUGAAGCAGCAUCUUAGACCAGCCCAUGAUAAUUCAGUAGACCUGAAAUCAUCCAAUUGCAUCUUUUAGAGCAUUGCUUCAUUGCUGUUUGAGAUAAUGGAUUGGGUAACUGUAGGAAUUUCUUUAAUUCUUUUGUGAAUAACUAUUGGUUUAAAAGAAAUUUUACAAUUAUUCUAAUAGUAUGAAGUUAAUGAAAAAAUAUUGAGUUCUAGCUACUGUAUCAAUCCUUGGAGACCCUGUAACAAUGGCCAUCACUUGGAAGCUUGACUCAAUAAUUUUAUUUCUGGGAUAAAUUACAAUGAUUUAUACUUUCCAUGGCAAGCAAAGAUCUGUUUUUAAUAAACUACAUUUAAACAUGUGGUUUAAUAAUAAUGAAAUGAGUAACUGACAAUGAUGUACAUUCUUUCUGUUGUAUUUACUAAAUUUUCAUAAACAUAUUUAUAUGAAUAAAAGCAACCUCACUAAGGAUUAUUAAAUACUAUGACAACAUCUUAGCAUUUGGAAGUCCUAGUUACAGAUUAUUUAUUUUAUUAUGUAAGUUUUAAUGAUAACAAAAUGAUGAUGGUGUUAUCAGACAUUGUUAUCUGAUUAAGUUAAAACAGAUAUUAUGAAGAAAAUAAAGUAACAGUGCUUUCCUUAACAUUAUAUUCAUAAAAUUACAUAUUUUAACAAUGUCUUACAAAGUCAAUUGUACUUUUAUACAUGAAAGCUUUGAAAUCAUAUUUUAUAUAACUGUGUACAUUGGGUUCAUGGUCUUAUAUAUAGCUGUGAAGAAAUUAUUACUUAAAUAUUUCACAUUGGAACUUCAGAAAACAAUUUUAAUAUGAAACAUGAAUUUUUGUAUCCAAAAUGCAUAGAAUUUUUAGAUCAGAUACAAAUACACAACAUUUUAGAGGUAACAUUCCAGUGCAACUUCCUUCUACUGAUUUAGGAAAGAAGGCUUCCUACAUAGGCCCAUGACUUGACCAAGGUCUUAUUAGUGACUUCCGUGCUAGGACAGCAAUCUGGUCUCCAUGUCUUUAUUCAUAUUUCUGUAUGCUUUCCACAAGGCCAUGUGUAUUACAUAUGGCACCCAGAUUUGGUGGUUUGGAGUGAGAACAAGGGUGUUUCCUCCUCUCAGAUUGUAUAUAUAAGCAUGGAGUACUGGCAGGAGAGCAUACACAUAGCUAAACACCCCUGUAAGUGCUUGUAAUGAUUAAUUAUGGUGCUUGGGUAUGUAGUACUGCAGAGGACUAAAAUGUAUUACAGGUUUGUUUCUGUUAGUUGUGCAGUUGUCUUACAGACCCUUCUGUACAUUUUGAUUCCUUCUUAGAGGAGUGAAGAAGCUGCAUUAUGCAAGCAGAUGAUCACAUUUUGAUUUUUCUAUUAUCUGUUUUGAUCUAUGGAAGGUUGUUUAACUGCUAUGUAGAAUAUAAUAAUUAAUUUUUUCCUUUAUAGUAGGUCAUUAGGGCUAUUCGUGGAUAAUUCAAUUCUUGGUGUUUAUUACCACUUGAUCAAUGCUGAUGUGAUGAUAUUGAUAACAUUAAUAAUGACACACCCCACUUUGCCAUUUUCCAUCCUCCUAUUGGUCAGCUGUCCUUUUGCUGGUAUUUUAUCAGCUUGAAUUUUCCUAUGGCUUGUCUCCAGGCGUCACUGUCACAACUUUUGUUUCUUUUCCAGGUGAACUCAUGCAAUCCCACGGAUUUUUAUUUCUGUGUAUAUUUCAAUAACUUUCAAGAGCUAGCAGAUUUUUCACCCCAGGCUUUGAAUCUUGAUCCUUAUUUAUAAAUAGAAUGAUAGAGUUUUGGUUAAAUCUACCUUUAGUGGCAGCGACAGAGCUGGUGCCAGAGGGAACAGAAUUCCUGCUAGGCUGUGGCUUGAGAGGCCGGGCCAUUGCCACAGAACCAGGCAGACAAUGACAAGUUUCACUUGCUGGCUGAAAUAGAAGUAGGUUAAGGCACAGCCACUGUGACAAAGAUAAAACAGCACUCUCCCACUAAAGGUCUAAAAUAACACGGAAGCAUUUCCUGGUAACCAGGUGAUGAGGGCAAAGAAGAUUUUUUUAGAUAAGACUGAGAGAAGAGCUCAGACAUCUCUCAGGGUCUGCAGUGAGAUCACCUCUCAGUGGAGAGCAGAAACCUGAGGAUGUUGUCAUGUUGCCAGAUGAGAGGUCUUGUAGAUUUGUUCAAGGAAUAAUGCAAUCCUUUCCAAAUUGAUCCCAGGAAACUGAGCUUGGCAAGGGUUGGGGCAGGGAUCUGGUAUAGAUGAGGGGAGCUGAAGAAUAUGGAAUCUAUUUGCUUCAGAGAGCAGCAUCAAUCUGGAGUUAUUAAAAGAUCUUGGAAGGUAUAAAAUCUUAGAUUAGUCAUCAUCCAUUUGUAUACAAUCUAUGUAUGAGUAGCAAAUGUUCUGUUUAAAUUUUCAGCAGUCUUUCUUAUGUAAAGAAAUAGCUUUCACUAUUAAAUAGUGAACAUUAUGGAAAGAAAAUACAUAUUUCCAUUAAUAAUAUA